AAGUCGAACGAGGUCCAUGGAGCCUGCUCCGGAAGACCUAGUGGCGAACGGGUGCGUAACACGUGAGAAACCUGCCCCGAUCUCUGGGAUAACAGUUGGAAACGACUGCUAAUACCGGAUGCCGUCACACCGCUUCAUGGCGGAGUGACGAAAGAUUUAUCGGAUCGGGAGGGUCUCGCGGCCUAUCAGCUAGUUGGAGAGGUAACGGCUCACCAAGGCAUCGACGGGUAGCUGGUCUGAGAGGAUGAUCAGCCACACUGGGACUGAGACACGGCCCAGACUCCUACGGGAGGCAGCAGUGGGGAAUCUUGCACAAUGGGCGAAAGCCUGAUGCAGCAACGCCGCGUGCGGGAAGAAGGCCCUAGGGUUGUAAACCGCUUUCAGUAGGGAAGAAAAUGACGGUACCUACAGAAGAAGGUGCGGCCAACUACGUGCCAGCAGCCGCGGUGACACGUAGGCACCAAGCGUUAUCCGGAUUUAUUGGGCGUAAAGAGCUCGUAGGCGGUUUGGUAAGUCGGGUGUGAAAACCCUGGGCUCAACCCAGAGACGCCACCCGAUACUGCUAUGACUAGAGUACGGUAGGGGAGCGGGGAAUUCAUGGUGUAGCGGUGAAAUGCGCAGAUAUCAUGAGGAACACCAGCGGCGAAGGCGCCGCUCUGGGCCGUAACUGACGCUGAGGAGCGAAAGCAUGGGUAGCAAA
rnacentral:rRNA from 1 species